UGAAACUGCAUGGUGUAAAUUGGAUUUGAUGUCAACAUUGCAUUCGCUCAGUUCAUUUUUAUGAAAAUAUGAUUAGCCUUCGUUUAGUUGGUUAACCAUGUUGGAUUAGAGGUUCGAGUUGUUGCUUUAUUUUGUUGAUCUGUGAUUGGAAGCAUUGUGAUUAAGUUAAUGACCAACCGUUUCCAUUCUGUCUUUGAAACCAUUUUUACAUCUGUGUUUGCAUUUUUGUUUCAUCCGUGUUUUAAUUUUAUUCAUCUACAUUCACAAAACUUUUCACAACCCCCCCACUUCGUGUUUGACCUAAUUCUCGAACCACAUUUGGUCCUUGAGAGACGACCUAGGAGUCACUUCCUAGCACUAUAUUGCAUUCUUUUAUGCACAUUAAAUUUUGCAUGGGGUGCGACACCCAUCAAAAUUUUGGCGCCGUUGCCAGGGACCAACGGUUCAGUCUUAGGUCUUUUGUUGUGUUAGUGUGUUUUGUUUUGUCUUGUGUUGUAAGUGUUUUGUUAUGUUUUGUGUGUGGUGUCAUGUGUGUUGCAUUUAGAUAACUUUAGUUGCAUAUUUUCAUUUCAUUCUUCUCCCCCCCUUCUUUUCUGCAUGUCUACCUAUUUUGAUUAUGUGAAUAGUGCUUAUUCUGUCAAUGCCUAUGAUUAUGAUUCUCCUUCUGNAUGUUA
rnacentral:lncRNA from 1 species